rnacentral:rRNA from 1 species
AUUGAACGCUGGCGGCAUGCCUUACACAUGCAAGUCGAACGGCAGCGGACCUUCGGGUGCCGGCGAGUGGCGAACGGGUGAGUAAUAUAUCGGAACGUACCUUUCAGUGGGGGAUAACGUAGCGAAAGUUACGCUAAUACCGCAUAUUCCGUGAGCAGGAAAGCAGGGGAUCGCAAGACCUUGCGCUGAUUGAGCGGCCGAUAUCAGAUUAGCUAGUUGGUGAGGUAAAGGCUCACCAAGGCGACGAUCUGUAGCGGGUCUGAGAGGAUGAUCCGCCACACUGGAACUGAGACACGGUCCAGACUCCUACGGGAGGCAGCAGUGGGGAAUUUUGGACAAUGGGCGCAAGCCUGAUCCAGCCAUGCCGCGUGAGUGAAGAAGGCCUCGGUUGUAAG